GCAACUUUUCCAAUCUAUGCCACCAUUGCAGAGAGCCCACUUGCUACAGCAGCAGCAGCAGCAGCAGCAAGUGGGAUACAGCUGAAAAGUUUUGGCAUACUUGUGCUUUCAUCUUUGUCUUUUUAGCGGUGGGAUGGUGGAGGGGUGCUAGUUCCAUCUCCUAUGUGCUUUCAGGGUAGACCAAUUCAGGCUGUGUUGUUUCUUUGCUAAUA
rnacentral:misc_RNA from 1 species